rnacentral:rRNA from 1 species
AAUAUUGCACAAUGGAGGAAACUCUGAUGCAGCGACGCCGCGUGAACGAUGAAGGCCUUCGGGUCGUAACGUUCUGUCCUAGGGGACGAUAAUGACGGUACCCUAGGAGGAAUCCCCGGCUAACUACGUGCCAGCAGCCGCGGUAAUACGUAGGGGGCAAGCGUUGUCCGGAAUUAUUGGGCGUAAAGCGCGCGCAGGCGGUCUGGAAAGUCGGAUGUGAAAUCUCGGGGCUCACCCCCGAGCCUGCAUACGAAACUUCCAGACUUGAGAGCAAGAGAGGGGAGUGGAAUUCCUAGUGUAGCGGUGAAAUGCGUAGAUAUUAGGAGGAACACCAGUGGCGAAGGCGACUCCCUGGCUUGCAACUGACGCUGAGGCGCGAAAGCGUGGGUAGCGAACAGG